rnacentral:rRNA from 1 species
GACGAACGCUGGCGGCGUGCCUAAUACAUGCAAGUAGAACGCACAGUUUAUACCGUAGCUUGCUACACCAUAGACUGUGAGUUGCGAACGGGUGAGUAACGCGUAGGUAACCUGCCUGGUAGCGGGGGAUAACUAUUGGAAACGAUAGCUAAUACCGCAUAAUAUUGAUUAUUGCAUGAUAAUUGAUUGAAAGAUGCUAUUGCAUCACUACCAGAUGGACCUGCGUUGUAUUAGCUAGUAGGUGAGGUAACGGCUCACCUAGGCGACGAUACAUAGCCGACCUGAGAGGGUGAUCGGCCACACUGGGACUGAGACACGGCCCAGACUCCUACGGGAGGCAGCAGUAGGGAAUCUUCGGCAAUGGACGAAAGUCUGACCGAGCAACGCCGCGUGAGUGAAGAAGGUUUUCGGAUCGUAAAGCUCGGUUGUAAGAGAAGAACGGGUGUGAGAGUGGAAAGUUCACACUGUGACGGUAUCUUACCAGAAAGGGACGGCUAACUACGUG